UACAGAGGGGGCAAGCGUUGUUCGGAAUUACUGGGCGUAAAGGGCGCGUAGGCGGCCUUCUAAGUCGAACGUGAAAUCCCCGGGCUCAACCCGGGAACUGCGUCCGAUACUGGAAGGCUUGAAUCCGGGAGAGGGAUGCGGAAUUCCAGGUGUAGCGGUGAAAUGCGUAGAUAUCUGGAGGAACACCGGUGGCGAAGGCGGCAUCCUGGACCGGCAUUGACGCUGAGGCGCAAAAGCCAGGGGAGCAAACGGG
rnacentral:rRNA from 1 species